rnacentral:lncRNA from 1 species
AGUUCGCCAUUGCAGCCCCGGACGUGCGCCUCCCGCGGAGCCGCUCGCUCUCCUGAGUCGGAGUCGGGAACCCGGCGUCCGUUGCCAUGGCGACUCCCAGGGAAAGUCUCCAUGGUAAAUGAAGGAAGCUCCAGUGCUGCCCCCAGCUGGACUCUGAGAACGCUGGCAGUUGGGGUCCUAUCACACAAGUAAGAGAUUGGAAGUCUCCUCGCUAUCAAGGUUGAAAAGACCCAGAGAAAAGACCCAAAGACACCAACACUGAAGGUCUCCCAGUGAAAUGGCCCAGUUAGGCCACAGCAUCAUGAGGCUCACAGUUGGCUUUCUUCACCUCCAGCAGAAUACAAAAUCAUCUUUUUAGUUUCCAAUUCUUAAAUAUAAACAGAUUGCAAAGAAUCACUGGAUAUUUGAGAAAAGCCUAAAACACGAUGGACAGAAGAGGAACCAGCACCAAGGAAAACAGAAGAAAAAAUAACUUGGAAGAAACAGAGACUAUGCACAAUAUAAAAACUUGAAAAACGUCAUCAUUAAUCAUUAGUAAUACUCUCAGACCGUUAAGAGAAGACGUAUCACUGGCCUGUGCUUUGGGAUCUGGAGAUAAUACUUAGCAUCAGCUGGGUGUGGUGGCUCAUGCCUGUAAUCCCAGCACUUUGGGAAGCCGAGGCAGGCAG